rnacentral:rRNA from 1 species
CCGAACGGCAGAAGUGGUGAUGGGCGCGUAUUUUUCGCCGGGCUCUUGGCCGGCGUACUUGUGCGCGUCCGUAGGUCAGCGUGGGUUGGGGCGUGGGAGUCGUUCAUGGGAAGGUC